UCUCGCGUCAGGAUAUGCCCAGGUGGGAUUAGCUAGUUGGUGAGGUAAUGGCUCACCAAGGCGACGAUCCCUAGCUGGUCUGAGAGGAUGAUCAGCCACACUGGAACUGAGACACGGUCCAGACUCCUACGGGAGGCAGCAGUGGGGAAUAUUGCACAAUGGGCGCAAGCCUGAUGCAGCCAUGCCGCGUGUGUGAAGAAGGCCUUCGGGUUGUAAAGCACUUUCAGUCGUGAGGAAGGUAGUGUAGUUAAUAGCUGCAUUAUUUGACGUUAGCGACAGAAGAAGCACCGGCUAACUCCGUGCCAGCAGCCGCGGUAAUACGGAGGGUGCGAGCGUUAAUCGGAAUUACUGGGCGUAAAGCGCAUGCAGGUGGUUUGUUAAGUCAGAUGUGAAAGCCCGGGGCUCAACCUCGGAAUAGCAUUUGAAACUGGCAGACUAGAGUACUGUAGAGGGGGGUAGAAUUUCA
rnacentral:rRNA from 1 species